UAAACCAGCACAGUCACGGAUAAACUGCCAUCAACCAAGAAGAAAACACCGUCACUUUCAAGCAGCCCAGACCCGAGGCGGCGGCAGAAGACAGGGCAGCUUUGCUUCCCUACUUCUCCUUGCUUAUCCCUCUAAACCGAGGUCUUCACUUUAAACCGAGUUUAAUUUGCUUCUAAUUAUUUUGCUAUGCUUAAUUAAACUCCAAAAUUGUCUCAUACUCUAAAUUACUCAACACCGACUUCUUAGUUCUUACGACCAGUUAGCUUCAGUUGGAACUAACUAUUUUCUCCAGAAUCGCCUUCAUGACGGUUGUUCUUGGGGCGAAUAGAGGGCCUCUACAAUAACUCCGGGGAGCAACCGUGUCCGUUUGAUGAAGCAUCAUCUACAAAACUCCAAGUAAAAGUUAAUUUACUUUUGAAGGGUCAACUACAAAGAGUUUUAGUAUGAGGAGUGCGUUUCACCUACUGCUGGAAAUAAUGUUUUUCCUUGUGUAUGCCACAUUCUCCUUCAUGGUUGUCUCCUAGAGAGUUGUUUAUAUUCUGGAUUGAGCCCUUUUUACCUUGGAACGUUAAGUGAAAACAAAAUAUCAAACAUACUGGGUGCAACAAAUUAGUUGCUGUUAUUGGAAACUCUAGGAAGAGCAUCAAAAACAUUUGAAACUGCGGAAAGAUUGAUGUUUCAUCCUUUUCUCACAUCUCUAAAGGAAUGCAUUAGUCAUGGUGAUCUCGGUAAAGCAUUUAGAGCCUUCUCUUUGAUCCAAUUUCAUUUCACCGCACAUGAUCAAAUCUUAGAGCCAAUAUAUUCCCUACUUAUAGCUUGUUCAAAACACAAGUCACUUCAACAGGGUAGGCAGCUCCAUUCCCAGAUCAUAUGUUUGGGUCUUGAUCAACAUAGUCUAUUACUGCCUAAGCUUGUCACUUUAUACUCCACUUUUAAUCUAUUGCCUGAGGCACAUUUGAUAGCUGAAAAAUCUAGUGUUUUGGAUCCUUUGGUUUGGAAUAUCCUUAUAUCUGCAUAUGUAAGAAAUGGACUCUCAAAUAAAGCUCUGUGUACUUACAGACAAAUGUUGAAUUUUGGUAUCAGACCGGAUGAAUUUACUUAUCCAUCUGUGCUAAAGGCAUGUGGUGAGCAAUUAGAUCUUGGUUUUGGUAAGGAAGUCCAUAGCUCCAUUUUGGUCAGCAAUUAUGGGGAGUCAAUUUGUGUUCGAAAUGCAUUGAUCUCCAUGUAUGGUAAAUGUGGCGAUGUUGGCGUUGCUCGUGUCUUGUUUGAUAACUUGCCCAAUAAGGAUGGAUAUUCAUGGAAUUCUAUGAUAUCUGGAUAUUCUUCCAAGGGUAUGUGGGAAGAAGCAUUUGUGCUGUUUGAGAAGAUGCGGCUUGAGGAUGUUGAAUUAAACAUUAUAACAUGGAACACCAUUAUUGGUGGAUGUUUGCGAACUGGAAACUAUGUUAGAGCACUUGAUUUGGUUUCUCAAAUGAGAACUUGUGCUGUUAAGUUGGAUGCUGUUUCAAUGGCCAGUGGCUUGAGCGCUUGCUCUCACAUAGGAUCUAUAAAAACAGGGAAAGAGAUGCAUGCUUUUAUUAUCCGUGGUGGCUGUGCUAAUUUUCUAAAUGUUCAGAAUGCACUAAUUACCAUGUAUGCCUGGUGUCAAGAUCACAGACACGCACAUGUUAUAUUCCAACAAAUGGAAGAAAAGGAUAUAAUUUCUUGGAAUUCGAUAAUCUCAGGUUAUGCACAUUAUGGAAAAUAUGAAGAAGCCUCCUUUCUCUUUAGGGAAAUGUUGCUUUGUGGCUUUAGACCAAAUUAUGUUACUGUAGCCAGCAUUCUUCCCUUGUGUGCUCGAGAAGCUAAUCUGCAACAUGGAAAAGAACUCCAUUGCUUCAUCAUCAAGCGUCAAGAUUUCAGUGAGUAUUUGCUAUUAUGGAAUGCUCUGGUGGAGAUGUAUGCAAAAACAUCUAGGAUUUCAGAGGCACAAACAGUGUUUAAUUUUUUGACUAGGAAGGAUAUUGUUACAUAUACUUCUUUAAUAACUGGCUAUGGUAUUCUUGGAGAUGGAGAAGUUGCAUUGAAACUAUUUGAAGAGAUGAAUAGUUCUGGAAUCAAACCUGAUCUUAUUAGUUUGGUUGCAGUUUUGUCAGCAUGUAGCCACUCCGGUCUUGUGAUUCAGGGUCAGUUGCUGUUUGAAAAAAUGUGGUGUGUGUAUGGCAUAAGACCCUGUUUGGAACACUAUGCAUGCAUGGUGGAUCUUUUUGGUAGGGCUGGGUUACUUAAGAAAGCAGAAGAGAUCAUUAGAACAAUGCCUUUUGAACCAAGUGCUGAUAUGUGGGCUACUCUAAUCGGGGCAUGUCAAAUCCAUCGGAAUAUAGAUUUAGGAGAGUGGGCAGCUGAAAAACUGUUGGCAUUGAGGCCCAGAAAUCCAGGGUACUAUGUGUUAAUUGCUAAUAUGUACGCUGCUGCUAGUUGUUGGGACAAACUGGCAAGAGUUCGAACAUAUAUGAGGGACUUAGGGUUGCUAAAGUCCCCAGGUUGUGCUUGGGUUGAUUUAGGAAGUGGUUUUGAACCAUUCUUGGUAGGGGAUUCAUCCAUGGAACUAUCACAUGAGAUAUAUCCCAUACUGGAAGGAUUAACUGAGAAUAUGAAAGAUGCUGGAUAUUUUGAUGUGUUUGUUAUAGAUUAUGAGGGUUUUGAGGAGUAAGGGGGAAGUAUUACUAGUGCCAAAAUUUACCAAUCAGUUGCGAUAUUGAUGGAACUAUCUGGUGCUCGGCUGGGGAAACAAAUCAUCUUUGUGAUAACUGCUUUUGAUCAUUACUCUCCGUAUGAGACAAUUUUAACUCAAUUAUUCCAUAAUCCCAUCAGAGACAGUUUAUACAGGCUUCAGUAUGUUUUAUAACCUGGUUCACAAUGAUAUUUUGCAGUCGCAUAGAAGAAAUUCAAUAGAAGUUGCAUUAGAGAUGGAUUGCAAUACUUCAUUCUUUGACAGGUUGGUGAAUUGCCUAGCUUUUCCCAGAUGAUGUUUUGUCAUUCUACCCUUAAAAGAUUUGUUCUAGGAAUAAUUAAUAGCUAUCUCAACUAUAGUCAGACUACAAAAAAUAAUCCUUAUUUGUGUUAUUCCACAAUAGUCAGGGUCUGCAAUAAAGUGAUAUUAGGGGAAAGGGGCAUUUUAAACAAAAUCCUUAUAUUUAUUUAUUUAUUUAUUUUGAAUUGAGACAAAAUCCUUGUAAAUAUGUAACUAGCAAUGGGAAGUUUAGGAAGUAAGUUAGAGAAGAAAUGUUAUAAAUAAGAGAAGAUUAGGGAAGAGAUCAGUAUGUUGAAUAUUGUUGGAUGUUUGGGUUAGCUUUAGAGAGCUAAAUUAGGAGAGAAUCCACCUUUAGGAAGUGGAAUUAUCGUACAAUAGUGCUCUAAUUUAGUUUAUUAAUCAAAAAAUCAUCAUCCUCCUAUUAUCUGCCAUGUAUUGAUGCUUAAGCUAUGUUAAUUUAUAGCAGUGUCUUCUCAAAAUGAUCUGGUGACUUGACUGGUUUAGCAAGUUAGUUGGCCACAUGGCACAAUAUUAUUGGCUCCCUAUAUUAUGUUUCUAAAAAAUUUAGUCUUCCCUCAUGGAAUUCACAUCUCUCCUCCCUACUUCCCCAGCUCCCUUCUCAUUUACCUGGAAAAAUUAUUGUCCAAUUAUAAACCUUUCAUUUAUGCGCCACUGCCUACCACCUCCUGCCCCCCCCCCCCCCCCCCCCCCCGUAAUUAUCUAUUCUUAGCAUCGUGUGAACAAAUUAGUCGUCAUUCCUUUCUACUAAGAUUUGAGUGCCAUCCCUAGCUAAUUAUUUGGUCUUUUUUAAUCCCCAAUUUUUAAUUUUAGUUUCUUUGUUUCCUCAUUGAACAUCAUUGAAGACUAUUAUGCCCCAACUGUAUUUCCAAAUUAUCUUAAACUCGACUUCAAAUUCCAUUGGUUGUGCUCAAAAACUCAAUUAUAUUAUCUAUAACUAUUAAAAGUGACAAGUUUGAGAGUUGAAAACUCCUUAGUAAUAAUGUGAUGACAAUUUUGCCCCUCAAAAUGUUCAAGUACUAUUUUUCCCUUAUUCUGCUUGCUGGUGAUCACUUUCUAUUCUGCUUGCUGGCGUUUCUCUCUCCUUCUCUCUCAUCGAACAACAAUGGCGUAGAUUCAACAACGACCUUCGAGGUGUUACAGUGAAGGAAGUUCCCGACAAGGUCCUGGACUCAGCUUAUCAAGUUGGAAGAUUUUCUGUCUCAACGGCCCCUGAUUUGCCUUACAAGGAAAUAGCCAUCCACUACGUAGCUCUUAUGAUGGGUAAGCAGAAGAUGUCCCAUUUUAUGACGGUUCAGCAACAAGAAAGCUUAAUCGACUUCUAUGUCCAACAUGCUGAUCUCGAACCAGUUAGGGUUACUUCUUCACAUGUGGGAUGCUUUACAAUCGUGAAUAAUGGAGCAGCCAGUAGCGAAACCCAAGUAUGGUGGCUGAACAAUCAGAAGAAUUUGAAAAAAUACAGCUUGGCCCUUUUCCGAUUGAACAAUUACAGUUAAUCCCACCCCUCUCUCUCUCUCCACCACCACCGCAGCGGCAACAACAACAGCCCCAACAACAACACCUGCAGCGGCAACAACAACAGCCCCAACAACAACACCUGCAGCGGCAACCACAACAGCCCCAACAACAACACCUGCAGCAACAUCAACACCAGCACCAACCACUGCCACCGCAAGACCCACCACCGCACCACAUGCAACACCUACUACCAUCACACAUGCAUCCUCCGCCGUAGUACAAGCAGCACCCGCCGCUUCCUCUGCAGCACCAACAGCAUCCUGGAAUGGACUUUCACCGGGGCCCACCUCCACCUCCUCUUCCUACUAUGAUGCGACAUUCUUCUUCUUCUUCUACUAAUCUCCUCCCGAUUUUCAUCACCCUCAACAACCUCCUCAAUAUUAGGGAUGAGCUGAAUGCUGAAUCUGUUGUUGUAAAAGAUGCUUACAGUGAUGAUCGGCAUGUUAGGUAAAGAGAAGUCACCACUGCUUGGUUAUAAUGGAGGAACUAGAUUCCCGCUGUGUGAUGAUGAUGGUGGCGGAGGUGGUACUUGGAGUGGCGGGUUCUUCUUGACGGACCCUAUCAGAAUUUUAGACGGAGAUAAAUGGUUGCGGUCAAGUAUCUUUAUGUAGUUACUAUCUUGCAAGUCUUUUACGCUCUGAUUAUACGGUCCACAUAGUAAUUUUCUGUAGCUCAUGGGGUGAUUCCCAUGACAAAACGACGUAUUUACAACUCUUUUAGAAGCAGUACAGGUAAUCAAGCCCACUGUGUUGAUAGGUACUUCUGGAAAGGGAAAGACAUUCACUAAGGAGGUGGUUGAAGCCAUGUCAUCUAUCAAUUCGAAACCACUCAUCCUUGCUCUAUCAAAUCCUACAUCACAGUCAG